rnacentral:rRNA from 1 species
AGAGUUUGAUCCUGGCUCAGAAUCAACGCUGGCGGCGUGCCUAACACAUGCAAGUCGAACGCGAAAGGGGCUUCGGCCCUGAGUAGAGUGGCGAACGGGUGAGUAACACGUGGGUGAUCUACCUCUGAGUGGGGGAUAACGUUCCGAAAGGAACGCUAAUACCGCAUGACGUUCCGGGUUUGAAGACCGGGAAACCAAAGUCGGGGACCGCAAGGCCUGACGCUUGGAGAGGAGCCCGCGCCUGAUUAGCUAGUUGGUGAGGUAACGGCUCACCAAGGCGACGAUCAGUAGCCGGCCUGAGAGGGCGGACGGCCACACUGGGACUGAGACACGGCCCAGACUCCUACGGGAGGCAGCAGUGGGGAAUUGUUCGCAAUGGGCGCAAGCCUGACGACGCAACGCCGCGUGGAGGAUGAAGGUCUUCGGAUUGUAAACUCCUGUUGCUCGGGACGAAAAGCUCCGACCUAACACGUCGGAGUCUGACGGUACCGAGUGAGGAAGCCCCGGCUAACUCUGUGCCAGCAGCCGCGGUAAUAC